CUGGUCACGAUAGACAGGUCAAUGUGUGUCUGUGUGUAUAUCCGUGUAUUUGCAUGUAUGUCAGUGUGUACCUGUGUAUCUGCAUGUGUGUCAGUGUGUGUUCAUGUGUAUAUGUGUGUGUGUGUUUAUGUGUAUUAGUGUGUGUUUCGGAGUGUGUGGUAGUAUAUACACACUACACAAACUCACACACAUACUACAUACAAAAA